rnacentral:rRNA from 1 species
CCGCGUGUGUGAAGAAGGCCUUCGGGUUGUAAAGCACUUUCNNUNNGGAGGAAAGGGUGUGAGUUAAUACCUCACAUCUGUGACGUUACUGACAGAAGAAGCACCGGCUAACUCCGUGCCAGCAGCCGCGGUAAU